rnacentral:lncRNA from 1 species
CUCAUUACUGCCUUGCAGUUUGAUCUCAGACUGCUGUGCUAGCAAUCAGCGAGACUCCCUGGGCGUAGGACCCUCCGAGCCAGGUGUGGGAAAUAAUCUCCUGGUGCACCGUUUCCUAAGCCCGUCGGAAAAGCGCAGUAUUUGGGUGGGAGUGGCCCGAUUUUCCAGGUGCCCUCCUUUCCUUGACCAGGAAAGGGAACUCCCUGACCCCUUACGCUUCCCAAGUGAGGCAAUGCCUCGCCCUGCUUCGGCUGGCGCACGGUGCCCUGCACCCACUGUCUGGCACUCCCUAGUGAGAUGAACCCGGUACCUCAGAUGGAAAUGCAGAAAUCACCCAUCUUCUGCGUGGCUCAUGCUGGGAGCUGUAGACCAGAGCUGUUCCUAUUCAGCCAUCUUGGCUCCCGGAUCCAGUUUAACUUUUGCAGAGAGACAAGAUCUCUCUCCAUUGCCAACACUGGUCUCAAACUCCUGGCCUCAAGCAAUCAUCCAACCUCAGCCUUCUGAGUACCGGGAUUACAAGUGCGAGCCACUGUGCCCAGCUCCUGUUUCUACUUUCUUAAGUGAACCUGAGGAAUACCACAAAUGUGAGCAUGGCUGGAUCUUUUGAAUUAAAAUCCACACUGGGAAAGAAAUAGACCUUGAACAUCUUGCCAAAGGCAAACCACUUCAAUAGAACAUGGCUGGCGGCCAUAUGGACAUAUUUGAAUCCAACAAUUAAUUCAGCAAAGAAAGCUGCUUGUGGCAAGUUUUGAAUGUGCCAUUCCAGGUAGUGCUUUGAUGAUAAAUGAGGAGAAGAUUGCAAAGAAAAUGACAGCAACAUUUAUAAAAGGAUUCCUCUUAGGACUCUAGAUGCACGGAGAGUGGCCAGAUUAAUACAGACUGGCAAAAGAAGAACUUGGCAAAGUGAUUUGAUCACACACUUCUCACCCUCACAUCUCCUGACAGUUCCCCUAAUCCCUGCCCCACUUCCCCGCCAUGGGCUUCCAUCAGGAAACUCCUUGAUAUCAUCUUCGUUACAGGAAUGCAGAUGUGAUUCCUAUGGAUGAGGGUAACCUAGAGGCUAGAAGAACAAUAGGACAGAAGAAGCCUGGGUCCCUGAACAACCUUGUGGAGCAUAGACACCUACGUGGCCUGGACUGCCAGCUCACAAUGGGCCUCUCUGUGAGAGAAGGAAACUUCCCUCUUGUUUAAGCAACUGUGCUUUUGAGAAUCUCUUGGUCUAUACCCUAAUGAAUAAGGCCAUCAUAAAUGGAUAUCAAAGUAAGGAAAUUUGUGUAAAUGAUUUAAUAAAACAUUACCUCAGGUAUGAAAUAAUUCUACCUUGUGCCUUGACAACAUCAGGUAUUAUUCAUGCCCUUUUCUCUCCCUGUAAUGUCUCUUAUCCACGGGUAGAAAUUAUAUUUUCCAUCUAAGGUUUGCUCAAAUAUUAUCUACUUAAGUAGCUCUUACCAAUUUUGCCUCUCCUCCUGAGCUGACCCUAUGCCUUCUAUGCUGUUCCAGGUAAUAUUAAUCUCUUCCUUUGUACUUCUUUCACAGAACAUACUUUUUUGUCUAACAUAAUAACUAUAGGCAUAAGUGUAUAGAUUCCACUAGGGGCUUCAGAACAGAAACUAUCAUCUUAUUAAUUUUUUUCUCCCUGAUAUCUAGGGAAAUAUGUUAUAUAUAAUAGGCCCUUAGUAAUCCCAUAAAUGUUUGUGAGAUAUUCACUGACUAUAAGCCAUACUCUGUAUUUAUUUAGCUAAAACAGACGUCUUUCAUAUUUAGUUAGCAGAAAAUGCUCACAUUUACUCCUUUCCUGUUUACCAAAUGAAAGGGUAAUUGUUUUUUCACAGAUUGCACUAGAAAAGUGUCUUCUCUCUCUUUUUCAAAUAGAUUGUCUUUAAAACAUAUGACAGGAAAAGUGACUAUUGUUAGGAUAAGAUAAUUACGAUUGUAACAGCUAGUUUAAAAGAAGUGUCAGUUGCUCCUGUUUUAUUUUUCACAGGAUAGAGCUGCGGCCUGUCUCAGUAUGAUGUUUUCAGGAUCUGGUAUAUAUUUUUAUUUUCCUACAUGAAUCUUUCAUCCUUUUACUGACAUUUAUUCAUUUUAUCUAAUUAUCCUAAAAGGAAAGCUCUGGCCAGGCAAAUUGGUUGUUGUCUGCCUCUGAAGAGACAUUCAUAUCGCGUCGCUUAGCUUUCAAGUUUUGUGAUCAGGAACCCUCAGGCCCAUUUUUAAGGAGGUUUCAGGCUAGCUGAGCUUCACUGUCUCCCAAAAUGUACAAAAUGAGAUUACAUGAGGGACAAGAUCAAUUUACUGGAAGGUACUUAAGCAGUAAAUCUGGAGCUUUUUGUCCAGUCACUAUUGCUUUCAAGCUUUGUAGCAGAAAAUUAAGCCACAAGAGCUUUGACAAAUUAGAUAUUACUACCUCUAAUUGUGUAUGUUUAAGCUUAUCACACUGAAUUGCAGCAUUGUAACUGACUAUUAUGCCAACAAGGCCUUCGUUUAAUCAGCGCAGUGCCAUUUAAUCGCAAUUAAUCACUCAACUAAAAUGUCAUAUUAAGGUCACAGAAACUUGAAGGGCUAAAAGAAAAGAGAACAUUAAAGUCAGCUGAUGGAGGAAAAGAGCAUGGUGUGCCAAGGGAAGUUCUGAGCACUCUUUUUCAUUAGAAGCUGGUAGAACAUUUAAUGAGAAUUCAGUCUUAACUUUCAGCUGAGAUCAGAACAACGUGCC